CUUUCCCCUCCGGCCUCUGCCGGUGCUGCUGCGCCCUGCGGAGCUCCGAACACGUGCGCGGAGUCCCAUAGAGCCUGACUCCGAGAGCCUCGAUCUCCCAGGGCCAGAGGCAGGGACUUUGGAAGAGAGGCUGGCUGUGGCAGAUGCAACUGCAGGAUGACUUGAAAGUAGGGCAUCCUUCACCCAUCUGAAGGGAGGAAAUAGUGGCAGGUGACAGUCUGCAUGUGCAGUUUUCAGAUGCCUUCACCUGAAUGACAUCUACCUCCAUCAGGACCCCAGAUGUCUGACAGCCCUGUGUGACACCAAGAUAAGUAACGUAUGUAGUCUUCUUGUCAUGUAGGUCCCAAUUAAAUUACUAUAGCUCAGAUGGGGGUAGGGGACUUAAAAUUAUGAUGUGAAAAAUUAUGUAGAGUAUCAGACUUUUUUUUGGGGGGGGACGGAGUCUUGCUCAGUUGCCCAGGCUAGAGUACAGUGGCUCGAUCUCGGCUCACUGCAACCUCUGCCUCCUGGGUUCAAGCGAUUCUCCUGCCUCAGCCUCCCGAGUAGCUGGGACUACAGGCACCUGCCACCAUGCC
ensembl:lncRNA SNHG4 small nucleolar RNA host gene 4